rnacentral:rRNA from 1 species
UAGGGAAUAUUGGACAAUGGGUGCGAGCCUGAUCCAGCCAUGCCGCGUGCGGGAAGAAGGCCUUCGGGUUGUAAACCGCUUUUGUUAGGGAAGAAACGAGUUUCUCUAAUACAGAGACUUAAUGACGGUACCUGAAGAAUAAGCACCGGCUAACUACGUGCCAGCAGCUGCGGUAAUACGUAGGGUGCGAGCGUUAAUCGGAAUUACUGGGCGUAAAGCGUGCGCAGGCGGUUAUAUAAGACAGAUGUGAAAUCCCCGGGCUCAACCUGGGACCUGCAUCUGUGACUGCAUCGCUGGAGUGCGGCAGAGGGGGAUGGAAUUCCGCGUGUAGCAGUGAAAUGCGUAGAUAUGCGGAGGAACACCGAUGGCGAAGGCAAUCCCCUGGGCCUGCACUGACGCUCAUGCACGAAAGCGUGGGGAGCAAACA